AUUCCAUGACUCCCCUGCCUCCUCCAACCAGCUGCUUGGCACUAUGGUAGUGCUCCUAUCUUUGAAUUCGACGACCUUCCACACCUGUGCCAUCUGUCAAUGAGAAGACAAGGAAUUAGGAUUGGUGAAGAAGAGGGAUGGCAACAUAAUGGUCUUGGUCUGGAAAAAGCACACAUUUUCUGCUGACAUCCCCAAGGAGCUCAACCUCAAGAUCAUCUACCAACGUAUGGACCUGAAAACAGCCUAUUCGAGGAGGGGCAGGGAUAUGUGAAAUGGGAUUCCUUGUACCCAAAUCGUCUGUAGAUGAUGAAGACUGACCAGAGGAUAGCACAAUGUUUUGGACCAGUCCAAUAUCCUGUCCUACUGCUAUGCAGUUGUUCCCAGUCUUUGUUGAAAAUCUGUUGUUGCUACCUUUCUGUACUGUUUGGCAGUACUGAAUUGCAGAGGCAAAGGACCAUCCUGGUGUAUGUCGUACAAAAGGGGUUGCUUACUUGGAGGUGGAGUAACAGUUUGAUGCACCUCUGACAGUCUCUAGACUACAUGUUGUAAUGGUAGUUGAGGCUUUCGCAACAUUUCAGAUGGAAACUGGGUUACCAUCUGAACAAUGCCAGUAAGGGGACUAGGUCGCAGGUGGUGAUCUGUGUCUGACAUUAAAGCAAAGUCUUCGUCUGA